UCCUGCAGCCAUUCUACCCCAGGCUUUGAUCUCGUCAAAUCUCAUAAACUACAGGGCAGGGGCUGGUUAAUACUUGGAUGGGUUGCCUCCAGGGAGAAUCAACAGUGCUUCAACAA
ensembl:rRNA 5S_rRNA 5S ribosomal RNA